rnacentral:rRNA from 1 species
UAAGGAAUAUUGGUCAAUGGAGGCAACUCUGAACCAGCCAUGCCGCGUGCAGGAAGAAGGCCCUAUGGGUCGUAAACUGCUUUUGAACAAGAGAAAACCCCGGUACGUGUACUGGGUUGAUAGUAUUGUUAGAAUAAGCAUCGGCUAACUUCGUGCCAGCAGCCGCGGUAAGACGAAGGAUGCAAGCGUUAUCCGGAUUCAUUGGGUUUAAAGGGUGCGUAGGCGGACUGAUAAGUCAGUGGUGAAAUCUCUCGGCUUAACCGAGAAACUGCCAUUGAUACUGUUAGUCUAGAGUACAGAUGAUGUGGGCGGAAUAUGACAUGCAGUGGUGAAAUACUUAGAUAUGUCAUAGAACACCGAUUGCGAAGGCAGCUCACAAAACUGUAACUGACGCUGAGGCACGAAAGUGCGGGGAUCAAACAGGAUUAGAUACCCCUGUAGUCCCUGAGCGGGCUGGCAAGGCGC